GACGUCGAUAUUCGACGUCAUAAACACGAUCAACUUUGGUGUUUAUGACGUCGAUAUUCGACGUCAUAAACACGAUCAACUUUGCGGUGUUUAUGACGUCGAUAUUCGAAGUCAUAAACACGAUCAAUUUUGGUGUUUAUGACGUCGAUAUUCGACGUCAUAAACACGAUCAACUUUGGUGUUUAUGACGUCGAUAUUCGACGUCAUAAACACGAACAACUUUGGUGUUUAUGACGUCGAUAUUCGACGUC
rnacentral:miRNA from 1 species